GGCUCCUAGGCAGAAAGAAGUCAGGGAGGUGAGGGAGAGAAGAAAGGAUAAAGGAGCGGCGGUGCGGCGACCUAGGCAGGAGUUCGCCGGAGCGAGGAGACGGCGGACGGGCGCGGGAGACAGAGGAAUCCGGCGAGGGGGCGUGAAGUCCUUGCAGGUGGAGGCGGGCCAAGAGGGAUCAAAUCGAGACCAAGAGGCCACAGGGAGCGCUCGUGGAGAUGCGUCAUCACCUCAGGCGGACGACGCCACGGCCAUGUCUUCGUCGCCCCUUCCACCGCGAGGAAGAUUACGCCAAGCUAGGCAGCGGCUCUGGGCUGUACGUGGAGCCUCCGUCAGCCGCCUCCGCCCUCCAUACUGAUGCUCCAUCCUCUGUUUCGAUUGGCUCUGCUCCAAGUUCGACAGACCACUGGUGCUACGCCUCGACCUGCUCUGUCACUCCAUGGCACUCCUCCGUCAGACCCCAUCCAACCUUGUAAGAUAACUUACGUGUGGACAAGCCUAGCACAGCUAGCUAUUUGCAUACUUGAUAGUUCCUCUUCUGAAGAUAUGAGUUAACUUUCUGAACCUAUGCACACAAAACCAAGUAUUUCUUAGAUUUCUUUGCACGAGUUAACUUACUAAACAGAUGCUUAUGGCAUCAAGUAUUAGCUAGAGUUCUUUGUUUAAGCUGUUGUCCAUACAAGAAUCUGGGCCAUUUGGUUCAGUUUCUACCAGCAAGAACACAUAGUGAGGGCCAGAUGUGUAACAUUCUUCUUAUGAAUAUAUGGUCUUCCAACAGUAACAACAUUUGCAAUCUAAAGGCCAUCGGCCAUAGCACACUCAUGCAUCAGGAUGAUGUACACCGCAUGGGUAUUAAUACUAAAAUGGUGAAUGUCGAUAAUGAAAUAUCCAGAGAUAUGCUUGACCAGAUCAAUUUAGUUUCUUUGGAAUUAUUUCUUAUGUAUGCGCAGAUGUAGAUGCUAUGCAUGCCAAUGUGAUUACUUACCCUUUUCAUUACGCAUCGUAUUCCCAUCGAUCCAUCCAUACAUCGAAUAGACAAUUUUGUUACUCUGUUCAGGUUGCAAUCACGAACAGCACUGAACUACUGGCCUAUGGGCUAUGGCAGUGAAAUACUUCUUGCUUGCGUGAGUGAAAGUUUGAAAUAGAGGACAAGCAUACAACAAAGUGUAUGGAUUACAUGUAUGCUAAAACUUAACGACUUGCAAUGCAGGAGUCCAGAGUCCUUCCAUAUAGGAGUUAAUUACAAACUGAACACAGAAUUUCACGUUUAUAGGAAUGACUCAUUCUCAUGGCAAAAUGAGGAUGGGACACUCUUCUCAUCUAACAUCUGUUCUACCAGUAGGGCUGGUGGCACUCUAUGGAAUACAAAGCUACUUGAUAAGUUAUGGCAUGAAAUUGCCCGGCCUUUGAUAUAAGCGAAGCAUCAGCCUUGAGGUUAUCCGUGGGGCUGCAAUGAUACACGCUUGAAUGGAAAUAUAUGAAGUCAUGGCUGGAUGUUGCUUUCAACCAGUAUAAGGCUCUGUUGACUAAGCAUGUAGAGAUUGAAAUUGAAUUUGUGACACUAUGUAAUUUCGUCUCUGGGGUAAUCGAAGAAAUGCUCCACGAAUAAGGCGUCCACCAAUAUAUGUUCAACAUCGUGUUCCUGUA